GGCAACAUGGCCGAGUGGUUAAGGCGCUAGAAUCAGGUUGAGGUGGUUUCGUAAUCAUCUUCCGAAUAGGAAAUCUAGUCCGAAAGGGCGUGGGUUCGAGUCCCACUGUUGUCA